AGAGUUUGAUCAUGGCUCAGGAUGAACGCUAGCGGCAGGCCUAAUACAUGCAAGUCGAACGGUAACAUUGGUGCUUGCACCAGAUGACGAGUGGCGCACGGGUGCGUAACGCGUAUGCAAUCUACCUUUUACUAGAGUAUAGCCCAGAGAAAUUUGGAUUAAUCCUCUAUAAUAUCUUUAAGUUUCAUGACUUUUAGAUUAAAGUUUUAACGGUAAAAGAUGAGCAUGCGUCCUAUUAGUUUGUAGGUGAGGUAACGGCUCACCUAGACUACGAUAGGUAGGGGCCCUGAGAGGGGGAUCCCCCACACUGGUACUGAGACACGGACCAGACUCCUACGGGAGGCAGCAGUAAGGAAUAUUGGACAAUGGACGAAAGUCUGAUCCAGCCAUGCCGCGUGCAGGAUGAAAGCCCUAUGGGUUGUAAACUGCUUUUAUACAGGAAGAAACACUCGUACGUGUACGAGCUUGACGGUACUGUAAGAAUAAGGACCGGCUAACUCCGUGCCAGCAGCCGCGGUAAUACGGAGGGUCCGAGCGUUAUCCGGAAUCAUUGGGUUUAAAGGGUCCGCAGGCGGUCUUUUAAGUCAGAGGUGAAAGCCUACAGCUCAACUGUAGAACGGCCUUUGAUACUGAAAGACUUGAGUUAUUAU
rnacentral:rRNA from 1 species